CGAUACGACCGUACCGCAAACCGACACUGGUGCGCGAGAUGAGUAUUCUAAGGCGCUUGAGAGAACUCAGGAGAAGGAACUCGGCAAAUUGACACCGUAACUUCGGAAGAAGGUGUGCCCUAUUAGUGUGUAGUGAACAACGAAGCAUGAAUGGGUUGCAAAAAAUCGGUGGCUGCGACUGUUUAUUAAAAACACAGCACUCUGCAAACACGAAAGUGGACGUAUAGGGUGUGACGCCUGCCCGGUGCUGGAAGAUUAAAUGAUGGGGUGCAAGCUCUUGAUUGAAGUCCCAGUAAACGGCGGCCGUAACUAUAACGGUCCUAAGGUAGCGAAAUUCCUUGUCGGGUAAGUUCCGACCUGCACGAAUGGCGUAACGAUGGCCACACUGUCUCCUCCUGAGACUCAGCGAAGUUGAAAUGUUUGUGAUGAUGCAAUCUCCCCGCGGAAAGACGGAAAGACCCCAUGAACCUUUACUGUAGCUUUGUAUUGGACUUUGAACAGAUCUGUGUAGGAUAGGUGGGAGGCUUUGAAGCAGGGUCGCUAGAUCUUGUGGAGCCAACGUUGAAAUACCACCCUGGUGUGUUUGAGGUUCUAACCUAGGUCCAUUAUCUGGAUCGGGGACAGUGCAUGGUAGGCAGUUUGACUGGGGCGGUCUCCUCCCAAAGCGUAACGGAGGAGUUCGAAGGUACGCUAGUUACGGUCGGACAUCGUGACGAUAGUGCAAUGGCAUAAGCGUGCUUAACUGCGAGACUGACAAGUCGAGCAGAUGCGAAAGCAGGACAUAGUGAUCCGGUGGUUCUGUAUGGAAGGGCCAUCGCUCAACGGAUAAAAGGUACUCUGGGGAUAACAGGCUGAUACCGCCCAAGAGUUCAUAUCGACGGCGGUGUUUGGCACCUCGAUGUCGGCUCAUCUCAUCCUGGGGCUGUAGCCGGUCCCAAGGGUAUGGCUGUUCGCCAUUUAAAGAGGUACGUGAGCUGGGUUUAAAACGUCGUGAGACAGUUUGGUCCCUAUCUUCCGUGGGCGCUGCAGAUUUGAGGAAGCCUGCUCCUAGUACGAGAGGACCGGAGUGGACACACCUCUGGUGUAUCGGUUGUCACGCCAGUGGCAUUGCCGAGUAGCUAAGUGUGGAAGAGAUAACCGCUGAAAGCAUCUAAGCGGGAAACUCGUUUCAAGAUGAGAUCUGCCGGGGCCUUGAGCCCCCUAAAGAGUCGUUCAAGACCAGGACGUUGAAAGGUCAGGUGUGGAAGCG
rnacentral:rRNA from 1 species